ACUCUCUCUCUCUCUCCGGCCACCAUGUGAAGAUAUGCGUGCUUCCCCUUCACCCUUCUGCCAUGAUUGUAAGUUUCCUGAGGCUUCCCCAGCCAUGCCUCCUGUACAGCCUGUGGAACUGACCUGGGAGAGAAAAAAGCUACCAGCAACAUUCAGACUGAGAGAGGCCAAAAUACUAAUUCAUAAUUAGCCUGGUACAUAUGAAGGAUCAAAAAGAACAGGACUGUAUGUCUGACCUCUGACAGGCCCUACCACCAUAGUAGAGACUCAGUAUGUAUACUUAAUGAAGGAAUAAUGAAUACAUCAGCAAGAGAAAUAAGAGUGACCAUAUGUUCCUUAAGAGAAGCAAAGAGCAGCUCCUGUUCCUGCUGGAAUGAGUCUCCAUUCCUUGCAACAGAAGUGUCCUAAGUUAUAGCCAGAGGACGGGGGCACAUUGACAAAACAUAAAGCGGAUAUGAUAAUAACAAGGUACCAUUCCAGCAAGAACAUCUGAAGAAAGAAGCAGUGUUGUUUAUCUUUCCUUCAUCUAUUCUGAAACUAAAAUCCUUAACCAAAUUUAUUUCCGAAGUUUAACCCUUUAAUAAACUGGCCUCUGACUCCACCUGGUGGAGAUACAUAAAUCUAUGAAAAUAAACCAAUCCAAAUGAAGAUUUUAAAGUC
ensembl:lncRNA LINC01474 long intergenic non-protein coding RNA 1474